rnacentral:rRNA from 1 species
UCCCGGUCGCGGACUCCAGAGACGGAGUUCUUCAGUUCGGCUGGACCGGAGACAGGUGCUGCAUGGCUGUCGUCAGCUCGUGUCGUGAGAUGUUGGGUUAAGUCCCGCAACGAGCGCAACCCCCGUCCUUAGUUGCUACCAUUUAGUUGAGCACUCUAAGGAGACUGCCGGUGAUAAGCCGCGAGGAAGGUGGGGAUGACGUCAAGUCCUCAUGGCCCUUACGGGCUGGGCUACACACGUGCUACAAUGGCGGUGACAAUGGGAUGCUAAGGGGCGACCCUUCGCAAAUCUCAAAAAGCCGUCUCAGUUCGGAUUGGGCUCUGCAACUCGAGCCCAUGAAGUUGGAAUCGCUA